rnacentral:lncRNA from 1 species
UCAAAUAGCUUCAGUUGCUCAUCUAAACUCCCAAAUGUGCAUAAACCCUAGAUCUGUCAGAAACAAUUUGUUGAGCACCAGUUAUAUAUGAAGGUUUCUGAAUCAUUUCAAUCAAUUUGCUUGUUCACUCAGGUUUGCAUGUACCUCAGGCAAGACUCCUCACAAUUGGGUUCUCCUCCACUUGUUUACUUGCAUUGUCUAAACCCUACUAUCUUAUUCCUUGCGAAUUGUG